UACGUAGGGGGCAAGCGUUGUCCGGAAUCAUUGGGCGUAAAGAGCGUGUAGGCGGCCCGGUAAGUCCGCUGUGAAAGUCCAGGGCUCAACCCUGGGAUGCCGGUGGAUACUGUCGGGCUCGAGUCCGGAAGAGGAGUGUGGAAUUCCUGGUGUAGCGGUGAAAUGCGCAGAUAUCAGGAGGAACACCAAUGGCGAAGGCAGUUCUCUGGGCCGUAACUGACGCUGAGGAGCGAAAGCGUGGGGAGCGAACAGG
rnacentral:rRNA from 1 species